rnacentral:lncRNA from 1 species
AAUUAAUAAAUCUACGACAAACAUAAAAAGUUAACAAACAAAAAAUCAAAAUAUGGCUCAAAGUAAGUUCAAUAACACAUAACAUGUUCAAAUAACAUUAACAUAGACAUAUUAGAACAAAAGAAGAUCAACAACACAACAGCAACAAAUCAACACAACGGCAGCAACGAAUAAAAAAUCUUGGGGAUUACAAUUUACAAAAUAAAAAAAUAUUAUGACAUUGCGGCACAACUCAAAUUUUUGAUCGUUUAUAUUGACACCCGUUUACUUCAUUAGUCUAGAUAAAAGUUUGAUUUUAUCUGUGUGCCGCUGGAAAGUUAAAACUUUAAAUAUGAUACAGCAAAAACGUAUACUAGUAGAUUUUGGAAACUCCUAUAUAUUAAAACAAAAAGUCAGUCAAGCACUUAAUAGGUUCUGGAAACACUCAUAUAUUAAAACUAAAAGUCAGUCGAGCCCGAGCACUAGGAUUAAAAGAUGAACGAGGUACAUUAAAAGAAUGAAGAAAUAAAAUGUAAUUUUUUUUAGCUCAAGAGAAGUUAUCGGGAAACCCCAGUUACACGACCACGUUUGGAGGGAAAAAAAAUGUAACAAAUUCAACAUAGAGUCAAUAGUUGACAAAAGAUAUUGGAGGCACUCAAUUAAUUACUGUUGAUAAAUAAAAGCAUAAUUCACCCAUUAAUCUUGUUUUGACCAAUUGAUUACGAAUGGAGCUUAAAAGUUUCUUAGAUAUAUUUCAUAAAUGUCUGCAUCAAUGAAAGCCCUAAUGCUCUACGUUUAUUUUUUUUUUUUUGCUUUUUUAAAAAUAAAACGUGAAGUGUGUGUGGUAGGGUGUUGCUUUCGUUUUUGUGGUGUAUUUAUCGGCCCUAUGAAGAACCAUUAAAUGAGAAAAAGAGCAAAAGAGAGUAAACCACCAAGUCAAACCCAGUACGAAUUCAAAACCACAUUCAGCAAAUGAUUUCAAAAACAGAACUUGCUUCUACCAAAUCAAACCCAGUACGAAUUCAAAACCACAUUCGUUUUCCAACACUUGCUCCCACCAAGUCAAACCCAGUAUGAGUUCUUGUCUGAUUACCUUUUCACGCCAGCAGCAGCUCAAGUUCUCUGCAAAAACAGAACAAACCAGAGAAAUGAUAGUAGGUGACAGCGGUAGGUGACAGUGGCAGCGGGGACGAGAGUCGGCGAUGAGCAGCGGUGGCAAAUCAGAUUCGUGAAGGAUGAGCAGCAGCAGCAGCGGGGACGAGAUUCCAGCGGUGAAGGGGCUGCGGCUUCGGUUUUCGGCUGAAGAGUGAAAAUAAGAAGAAUGUGUUAAAUUAGAGAUUGUUUAUUUGUUUUGGCAUUCGGUUUUUUCCUGUGGUCGGUUC